rnacentral:rRNA from 1 species
AGACCCGAAACCCGGUGAUCUAGCCAUGGGCAGGUUGAAGGUUGGGUAACACUAACUGGAGGACCGAACCGACUAAUGUUGAAAAAUUAGCGGAUGACCUGUGGCUGGGGGUGAAAGGCCAAUCAAACCGGGAGAUAGCUGGUUCUCCCCGAAAGCUAUUUAGGUAGCGCCUCGUGAAUUCAUCUCCGGGGGUAGAGCACUGUUUCGGCUAGGGGGCCAUCCCGGCUUACCAACCCGAUGCAAACUGCGAAUACCGGAGAAUGUUAUCACGGGAGACACACGGCGGGUGCUAACGUCCGUCGUGAAGAGGGAAACAACCCAGACCGCCAGCUAAGGUCCCAAAGUCAUGGUUAAGUGGGAAACGAUGUGGGAAGGCCCAGACAGCCAGGAUGUUGGCUUAGAAGCAGCCAUCAUUUAAAGAAAGCGUAAUAGCUCACUGGUCGAGUCGGCCUGCGCGGAAGAUGUAACGGGGCUAAACCAUGCACCGAAGCUGCGGCAGCGACACUGUGUGUUGUUGGGUAGGGGAGCGUUCUGUAAGCCUGUGAAGGUGUGCUGUGAGGCAUGCUGGAGGUAUCAGAAGUGCGAAUGCUGACAUAAGUAACGAUAAAGCGGGUGAAAAGCCCGCUCGCCGGAAGACCAAGGGUUCCUGUCCAACGUUAAUCGGGGCAGGGUGAGUCGACCCCUAAGGCGAGGCCGAAAGGCGUAGUCGAUGGGAAACGGGUUAAUAUUCCCGUACUUGGUGUUACUGCGAAGGGGGGACGGAGAAGGCUAUGUUGGCCGGGCGACGGUUGUCCCGGUUUAAGCGUGUAGGUGUGUGUUCCAGGUAAAUCCGGUUCACUUUAACACUGAGGCGUGACGACGAGGCACUACGGUGCUGAAGCAACAAAUGCCCUGCUUCCAGGAAAAGCCUCUAAGCAUCAGGUAACAUCAAAUCGUACCCCAAACCGACACAGGUGGUCAGGUAGAGAAUACCAAGGCGCUUGAGAGAACUCGGGUGAAGGAACUAGGCAAAAUGGUGCCGUAACUUCGGGAGAAGGCACGCUGACACGUAGGUGAAGUGAUUUACUCAUGGAGCUGAAGUCAGUCGAAGAUACCAGCUGGCUGCAACUGUUUAUUAAAAACACAGCACUGUGCAAACACGAAAGUGGACGUAUACGGUGUGACGCCUGCCCGGUGCCGGAAGGUUAAUUGAUGGGGUCAGCGCAAGCGAAGCUCCUGAUCGAAGCCCCGGUAAACGGCGGCCGUAACUAUAACGGUCCUAAGGUAGCGAAAUUCCUUGUCGGGUAAGUUCCGACCUGCACGAAUGGCGUAAUGAUGGCCAGGCUGUCUCCACCCGAGACUCAGUGAAAUUGAACUCGCUGUGAAGAUGCAGUGUACCCGCGGCAAGACGGAAAGACCCCGUGAACCUUUACUAUAGCUUGACACUGAACAUUGAGCCUUGAUGUGUAGGAUAGGUGGGAGGCUUUGAAGUGUGGACGCCAGUCUGCAUGGAGCCGACCUUGAAAUACCACCCUUUAAUGUUUGAUGUUCUAACGUGGACCCGUAAUCCGGGUUGCGGACAGUGUCUGGUGGGUAGUUUGACUGGGGCGGUCUCCUCCUAAAGAGUAACGGAGGAGCACGAAGGUUGGCUAAUCCUGGUCGGACAUCAGGAGGUUAGUGCAAUGGCAUAAGCCAGCUUGACUGCGAGCGUGACGGCGCGAGCAGGUGCGAAAGCAGGUCAUAGUGAUCCGGUGGUUCUGAAUGGAAGGGCCAUCGCUCAACGGAUAAAAGGUACUCCGGGGAUAACAGGCUGAUACCGCCCAAGAGUUCAUAUCGACGGCGGUGUUUGGCACCUCGAUGUCGGCUCAUCACAUCCUGGGGCUGAAGUAGGUCCCAAGGGUAUGGCUGUUCGCCAUUUAAAGUGGUACGCGAGCUGGGUUUAGAACGUCGUGAGACAGUUCGGUCCCUAUCUGCCGUGGGCGCUGGAGAACUGAGGGGGGCUGCUCCUAGUACGAGAGGACCGGAGUGGACGCAUCACUGGUGUUCGGGUUGUCAUGCCAAUGGCACUGCCCGGUAGCUAAAUGCGGAAGAGAUAAGUGCUGAAAGCAUCUAAGCACGAAACUUGCCCCGAG